UGCCAGCCGCCGCGUAAUACGGAGGGGGUUAGCGUUGUUCGGAAUUACUGGGCGUAAAGCGCACGUAGGCGGAUUAGUAAGUUAGGGGUGAAAUCCCAGGGCUCAACCCUGGAACUGCCUCAUAAACUCCUGAUCUAGAGUUCGAGAGAGGUGAGUGGAAUUCCGAGUGUAGAGGUGAAAUUCGUAGAUAUUCGGAGGAACACCAGUGGCGAAGGCGGCUCACUGGCUCGAUACUGACGCUGAGGUACGAAAGUGUGGGGAGCAAACAGGAUUAGAUA
rnacentral:rRNA from 1 species